rnacentral:rRNA from 1 species
UGAGCGGCGGACGGGUGAGUAACGCGUGGGUAACCUGCCUCAUACAGGGGGAUAACAGUUGGAAACGGCUGCUAAUACCGCAUAAGCGCACAGUACCGCAUGGUACGGUGUGAAAAACUCCGGUGGUAUGAGAUGGACCCGCGCCUGAUUAGGUAGUUGGUGGGGUAACGGCCUACCAAGCCGACGAUCAGUAGCCGACCUGAGAGGGUGACCGGCCACAUUGGGACUGAGACACGGCCCAA